GUGUGAUGCUUCUCCUCCUUUAUUUGAGCUCUACUUGCCUGGCAGUGCACACACUGGGCCACCUGAAUGAAGAAGAUUUAAAAACACAGAGAGACAUCCCGUUUUUAACUGUUUUAUUCAACAAGUAUUUCAAAGAUGUUUGGAAAAAGCAACUUGCGGAGGCCAAGUCACCGCACGUAUGAUAUAGGUGACGAGGAUCCUCUCAUUAAAGAGAUCAGCAAAUCAAUGGCCAGACUUUCCAUAAGUGGACAGACUGAGCUAGCGUCCAGGUCCUCCAACAGCCGCAUAUCCAAUAAUAGGGGGUCCACCGAAAUCAAAGAGGCCAAAGGUACCGGUCGCU